rnacentral:rRNA from 1 species
UGGGGAAUCUUGCACAAUGGGGGCAACCCUGAUGCAGCGACGCCGCGUGAGCGAUGAAGCCCUUCGGGGCGUAAAGCUCUUUCGACCGGAACGAUAAUGACGGUACCGGGAGAAGAAGCUGCGGCUAACUACGUACCAGCAGCCGCGGUAAUACGUAGGCAGCAAGCGUUGUUCGGAGUUACUGGGCGUAAAGAGUGCGUAGGCGGUUUUCUAAGUUCGGUGUGAAAUCUCCCGGCUUAACUGGGAGGGUGCGCCGAAGACUGGGAAGCUGGACUGUGGGAAAGGCAGGCGGAAGUCCUGGUGUAGCGGUGAAAUGCAUAGAUAACAGGAGGAACACCGGCGGUGUAGACGGCUUGCUAGACCAUAACUGACGCUGAGGCACGAAAGCGUGGGUAGCAAACA